rnacentral:rRNA from 1 species
UCGAGAAUAUUCGACAAUGGGCGAAAGCCUGAUCGAGCGACGCCGCGUGCAGGAUGAAGGUCUUCGGAUCGUAAACUGCUUUUAUGUUUUAGAAAGUUAUUGAUCGAAACAUGAAUAAGGAGCUGCAAACUUCGUGCCAGCAGCCGCGGUAAUACGAAGGCUCCAAGCGUUAUCCGGAUUUAUUGGGCGUAAAGGGCGCGUAGGGGGUUUCGUGUGUUUCCGGUAAAAGACCAGGGCUUAACUCUGGCAGCGCCGGGAAAACUACGAAACUAGAGGGUGUUAGAGGUCUGUGGAACGCACGGUGUAGGGGUGAAAUCCGUUGAUAUCGUGCGGAACACCAAAGGCGAAGGCAGCAGACUGGGACAUUCCUGACCCUGAGGCGCGAAAGCGUGGGGAGCAA